CCAGCGGCGGUGGAAAGUUGAAAUGAAUGAAUUGUGAAGAUGAAACGGGAAUUUGGUGUUGACGGAUCAUGUUUGGUUGUCAAGCAGGAAGGCUAAUAGUAACAGUAAUUUUUUGAUGGUGAUUUGGAUAAAGUGAAUGGAAAAUGAUUGUGAUAAUUGAUUGUGUGAUAUGUAUACAUGAUGAUUUGCUGAAACUGAUGAGAGUAGGAAUUUAGUUAAUUUGGGGAUCGUGGAAUUCAGAGAGGAGAUCAUGAGAUUUUUUAUUGACUUGAAGAAAACUGAAUUAGAGAACAAAGGUGGAGGCUUUUCGUAGAAAAAAUAUUUUGUUUGAGGGGAGAGGACGUUAAGAAUUUUAGAUCGUGGGGAAAAAGAUUAACA